ACUGUAACCCACCAGGCUCCUCUGUCCAUGGGAUUCUCCAGGCAAGAAUAUUGGAGUUGGUUGCCGUUUUAUUCUCCAGGGGAUCUUUCAGACCCAGGAAUUGAGCUGUCGUCUCCUACAUUGGCAGAGAACUUAAAAAAAUCUUGCUUGAAAUGCCCUCUGAUGUAAAGACCAGAAAACAAGAUUGACGCUGAUGAUUACCAAAUGCAGUAGUUUGUUGUUGUUGUUGUUAGAUUCCAGGUUUAUAACCAAAUUAAAGGUGGCAUAAUUUUGCAUCAAAUGCCUCCCCAAAGAAAUCUAUGGUUUUUCACCAAGCUUUGUUCUCAGGAAAUCAUACCCAUAUCUCAUUAUAGAAAUAUUUCCAUGUGUAAUUAAUUUGAAUGUAAUA